rnacentral:rRNA from 1 species
AGUGAACGCUGGCGGUAGGCCUAACACAUGCAAGUCGAACGGCAGCACAGUAAGAGCUUGCUCUUACGGGUGGCGAGUGGCGGACGGGUGAGGAAUACAUCGGAAUCUACUUUUUCGUGGGGGAUAACGUAGGGAAACUUACGCUAAUACCGCAUACGACCUACGGGUGAAAGCAGGGGAUCUUCGGACCUUUCGCGAUUGAAUGAGCCGAUGUCGCAGUAGCUAGUUGGCGGGGUAAAGGCCCACCAAGGCGACGAUCCGUAGCUGGUAGGAGAGGAUGGUAGGCAAAGAGGGAAAUGAGAGACGGUGCAGACGACUACGGGAGGAAGGAGUAGGGAAUCUUACGCAAUGGACGAAAGCGUGACGGAGCAACGCGGCGUGAGAGAAGAAGGUCUUCGGAUCGGAAAACUCUGUUAUUAGGGAAGAAAAAAGGUGUAAGUAAAGAGGCACGUAGUGACGGUACCUAAUCAGAAAGACACGGCUAACUACGUG